rnacentral:rRNA from 1 species
AUUGAACGCUGGCGGCAGGCCUAACACAUGCAAGUCGAGCGGCAGCGGGAAAGUAGCUUGCUACUUUUGCCGGCGAGCGGCGGACGGGUGAGUAAUGCCUGGGAAAUUGCCCAGUCGAGGGGGAUAACAGUUGGAAACGACUGCUAAUACCGCAUACGUCCUACGGGGGAAAGCAGGGGACCUUCGGGCCUUGCGCGAUUGGAUAUGCCCAGGUGGGAUUAGCUAGUUGGUGAGGUAAUGGCUCACCAAGGCGACGAUCCCUAGCUGGUCUGAGAGGAUGAUCAGCCACACUGGAACUGAGACACGGUCCAGACUCCUACGGGAGGCAGCAGUGGGGAAUAUUGCACAAUGGGGGAAACCCUGAUGCAGCCAUGCCGCGUGUGUGAAGAAGGCCUUCGGGUUGUAAAGCACUUUCAGCGAGGAGGAAAGGUUGAUGCCUAAUACGUAUCAACUGUGACGUUACUCGCAGAAGAAGCACCGGCUAACUCCGUGCCAGCAGCCGCCGUAAAAC